UCACUUUCUCCAGUGGUGACGCAGUUCUGUUCUCCGUGUUGAAGGCAGAGUCCUGUAAAAUAUUAUAAUCCUCUGGUUGAAGGAUGAAGAGACAGAGACCAGACUCUCCUGGACCCAGCUGUGUGUCCAUGAAGAGUGACCGGUCUAAAGGUUUAUAUAUUGGCUUUAAAGAUGGAUGUCCUGCUGAUGGAAGGAUGAAGAGACAGAGACCAGACUUUCCUGGACCCAGCUGUGUG